rnacentral:miRNA from 3 species
UCGGAUCAGGCUUCAUUCCUC